ACUUUAGGGUGGAUGAUGGACUUGUUACCAGGGUGAAGAUAGAAAUAUAAAUUUCUACCAUAAGUUGUUCCCGAAUUGAUGGAUGGGCAAAGAGGUACAGUAGCAAAGCCCGGUAAUGUCCACAUGGAACAGAUAUUUUGUCCUAGAUUCAUCCCCAUCUGGGUAUAGCAGCAAAUUAAGUUUCCCUCGGUGACCAAGAAGAAGGAAAACGACAAUUGGCUUCUGAUGAUCGAAGAUGGACAGUGUAAAGGAGUUUGUGUAUGUCAAAUUCAUGUUCUGUAACAACCGAACCUGACACACUUGGAUUCUAGUCUCGAGCAGCGGAUGAAGUAAGAACUCAUGCUAUCACAGGUUACGGUCAAGAAGUUACUUUACCUUCGCUGAGAUACAUACAUUUUUAAAUAUACUAUAUAUAUAUAUAUAUUUAAUACUUUCGGCUUUCCCCCCAAAAUCCCUUCUCGAAUACCCGAAUCCGGCCCCCCUUUUCCCCGUUCAGCAUUCGUCCAUUCCCAAAUCCGCAAAUCAUCUCUGCCCUCUGUCUCCGCCUCUCAAUCUCAUAAUACCGCUGAAAUAGCCCUCAAAUGCCAUUUCCCGCAUCACCAGUCGACAGUCGCCGACCACAAAUCAUCACUUCUUGAUCUCGCGUGGUUUGAUUUUGUUUCAGUCUCAAAAUAAAGUGGAAAAAGAUGUAAGCCAAGAAGAAAGAACUUAACAGUGAAAUCAGAAAUGAAAGAAGGGUUAAUGGAAUAUCGAUGUGUCCAGUGCGGGUUUCAGGUCAAAACCCUGUUUGUUCAAUACUCACCGGGAAACAUUCGAUUGAUGAAAUGUGAGAAAUGUAAAGCAGUUGCCGAUGAGUAUAUCGAAUGUGAGCUCAUGAUUGUUUUGAUUGAUUUAAUCUUGCACAAGCCAAAAGCAUAUAGGCAUCUACUUUACAAUGUACUCAACCAACAAGAAUUGGGUAUGUUGAAAACUUUGCAGGGUCUAUUGUGGAAGCUAUUAUUUGGUUUUCUCGUUCUUGAUGCUUAUAGAAGUUUGCUUGUCAAAAGACAUGAUGAAAAAUGGGGCAUGUCCAUGAGCAUUUCUUCAUAUUUUUGGUUAUAUCGAAAGAUAUUGGUGGACGUAUUUCUUGGAAACUUUAUGUUUCUAUGUUGUUUUCUUCUUGCGAUCAGGAAACUUCUGAAGACAUCAGCUCAAUUCUUUAGGUAUGUAUUUGCAUUUCUCUUAGCUGAGUACUUAUUUUUGAUUUCUCUCUGGCUAGUGAACUUUGAAAUGUGGUUUAUUGGUAAUAGCCACAGUGCUAUAGAUAGGUAGCCAGUAUUCAUUGGUAGGGUAGUCAGGAGACAUGCCCUUGGUUAAGAUCUACCAGAUGGCAGAAGCAAAAGAAGUCGUGGAAGGGAGAGGGGAGGAUGGGGAUAGCAUGAAAAAUUUUAAGCUGCGGAAAUUUCCAAAUUGGGAACUCAGAGGUAGCACUAGGAAGAGAUUAGAGACAAUUGGGAGCUCAGAGGUAGCACUAGGAAACGAUUAGAGACAGUUGGCUACAAUGUAAUUGUAACUUCUAGAUCUUUUGGGAGGUAUGAACAAAGUUGAUGAGGCAUCACAGAAAUUAGGAUUGUUCCAAAACUAUUCAGUGUUACUGGAUAAUUGAAUAAGGCUCGGCAAACUUUUGCUCGCAGUUCUAAUUUCAAGUUACUUCAAGAUUUUGCUUGUUGCCAUGAUGGUCUGGGAAUUUCCACCUUCAGUGAUUUACAUCAUUGAUUUAUUAGUUUUAUCAUCUAAUACAGUGGCAC